GUCUAUGGCCAUGCUACCCUGAACAAGCCCAAUCCGUCUGAUCUCGGAAGCUAAGCAGGGUAAGGCCUGGUUAGUACCUGGAUGGGAGAGCACCUAGGAAGACCAGGUGCUGUAGGUG
rnacentral:rRNA from 1 species